GUAGUCAUAUGCUUGUCUCAAAGAUUAAGCCAUGCAUGUCUAAGUAUAAGCAAUCUAUACUGUGAAACUGCGAAUGGCUCAUUAAAUCAGUUAUCGUUUAUUUGAUAGUACCUUACUACUUGGAUAACCGUGGUAAUUCUAGAGCUAAUACAUGCUAAAAACCCCGGCUUUUGGAGGGGUGUAUUUAUUAGAUAAAAAACCAAUGCCCUUCGGGGCUCCUUGGUGAUUCAUAAUAACUUAACGAAUCGCAUGGCCUUGUGCCGGCGAUGGUUCAUUCAAAUUUCUGCCCUAUCAACUUUCGAUGGUUAGGUCUUGGCUAACCAUGGUUUCAACGGGUAACGGGGAAU
rnacentral:rRNA from 1 species